rnacentral:rRNA from 1 species
UACGAAGGGAGCUAGCGUUGUUCGGAAUCACUGGGCGUAAAGCGCACGUAGGCCGGCUUGUAAGUCAGGGGUGAAAUCCCAGGGCUCAACCCUGGAACUGCCUUUGAUACUGUCGAUCUGGAGUAUGGAAGAGGUGAGUGGAAUUCCGAGUGUAGAGGUGAAAUUCGUAGAUAUUCGGAGGAACACCAGUGGCGAAGGCGGCUCACUGGUCCAUUACUGACGCUGAGGUGCGAAAGCGUGGGGAGCAAACAGG